rnacentral:pre_miRNA from 1 species
GGAGGAGUUGCUGGGUCAUAUGCUAACUCUUUUUAGGUUUGAGAGCAACUGCCAAGGUGUUUUCCAAAAUGGAUAUAUCAUUAUAUUCUCCCUAUCAAU